UCUUCACUGUAUCACUCCGGGAGUUCUACAAAUCAAUUGAAAAUGUCAAACGCGUGUUUCUACGUUUCGUCUUCCCUUUCUUUUAUCCUUUUCCUUUUCGCCCAUUCUGUUCCGUUCCUCUUUUCCUUUUCCCCAUUCUAGACUUUCUUAUGUGGACUCUGCAGUUUCACAACUCUUUUACCAAACCCCCUUGUUCCCGCUGAAAAUCCUUACUCCGACACUUUUCAGUCUUCCGGUUACUCUUUACCUCUUGGCGGAAGGACUUACACGGAGUAAAUGUCGGUUCUCUAUUUUGGACCAUCAUGGAUCUCGGAUUAUAUAGAGCUGCACAAGAAGGUGAUCUUGGUGCUUCGAAACAACAUAUUCAACAUUUCAGCACUGACUCGACGCCAAACAGAAAUACUCCACUCCAUGUUGUUGUUUGUUUCAAUGACACCUGGGAAUGCACGGAAGAAAUCCUCAAGACGAAUGAAUCCUUGUUGUUUGAAGUGAAUUUCGAGGGAAAUUCUGAGUUUCAUAUUGCAGCAAGAAAUGAGAGAUCUACACCUGGAUCAACAAUGACAAUAUGGGCAAAGCGUUCAACUGAGGAUGUUGAAUUAGAAACAAAAAUGGGAAUACUUCAUUUCAUGAUGCAAUAAUGGGGGAUCAUCCUGAAAUGGUUGUAAUGAUGCUUCAGGAUUACCCGGAAAUAACAAAUAUAGUGAAAAAUUCAUUGAAAACUCCACUAUUUCUUGCUGCUUAUUGGAGACGAAUUCAGUGUAUGAUACACAUAUUGGAAUAUUGCCCCUCGCCAGCUUAUACUGACCCAAAAGGGAGAACUGCUUUGCAUGUUGUGGUAGCUAUAUGUGACAGGAAAGGUUAAAGGGUAUUUGGUGGGGAUUAAAAUUAGAUUUUUUAGUAGAUUGUGAUAGAAAUUUUUGAAAUGUGUGGUUGAAAAGUUGUGAAACCCAUGAAAGAUGUGGUUGAUAAAGAUUGUUUGAUUAGUCUUAAAAUUGAGUUAAUUUCAUUUGUGGUCACUUUACUUUGCUGCAUUCUGCAUCAUUCAGUGGCGUUGCUGAAAGCCAUAACCAACAUUCUAUAUACUUCUUUAGCUUUGCUGCACUCUGCAUCCUUCACUGUAGAAUUAGCUGUUGUAUUCAUCAUUUCAGCACGGCUUGCUGCACUUUGCUCUGCUCACUCGUGAUUUUGAUAAUUGUAUAAAUCGCAGAAGAGUUGAUAAAAAGAAUCCAACUUCAAUAAAAUGAGGUUGAUGAUUUUGGAUGGAGUGCUCUCCAUUAUGCUGCACAACAUGGAUCCGGCAUUGUGGCACAAGUACUACUACAGGCAGAUGAAUCUAUUGCAUACAUAGUUGCACAAAAAGAUGAUAAUUAGACAGCUCUGCAUUUGGCAACAUGUGAGGGAAAUAUAGAGUUAAUGAGAGAGAUCUUAAGAUACUGUCCUAGUUGUUGGGGGAUGGUCAUCAGUGAUGGUGAGAAUGUUCUACACAUUGCCGUGAAAUUUGAAGAAGAAAAGGCACUCAAAUUUAUUUUGAAACAAUCUUGGGUUGUCAAUCUGAUAAACCAAAAGGAUGUAGAGGGAAACACACCUCUCCAUGUAUAUGCUGAUACUGUCAAUUUCCUAGGCGCUGAUCUUGUGAACCACCCACAAACUAAUCAGAAUGCUGUGAAUAAGAAAAAUAUGACUCCCCUUGAUAUGAUAACGAAUUCUGAUUUUUUUCGGUAAGAAAGGAUUUUAUAAAGAAGGAAUUAGAAAGAAAAGAUGCUCUCAUCGGAAUGAAUCUAGACAAUCGUGAUUAUAGAUCACGAAAAAUGAAAACAUAUGAGCAAAAGAAAAGGAUGCUUCUGAGAGACUUUAGAAAAAUGGGUGAAACUCAGAUGGUAGUGGCAGCUCUCAUAAUGACAAUUACAUUUGCUGCCAGAUUUACCAUUCCUGGAGAGUAUACUAAGAAAGAUGACAUGUCAAUUUUAUCAAGAAAAAUGGCUUUUAGGGUCUUUGUCAUAAGUGAUACAUUAGCUUUGAUUAUUUCUGGUUGCACCGUUAUUUUCUACUUAGCUUCAGUCUUGAGCAGGCUAAAGUCUGCACGUUGGUAUUUUGCUGCCACAAUCAGUACUGGGCAUCAUGGUAAUCGUCAUCUGCCCUUUACGAUUUCUCGUCCUCUAUCGCACAAUAGUAUUCUCAGGCAGCGAUUACAACUUGUAAUAUUUAUAAUUUUUCUUUGUAAAUAUUACUAUUAAAUGAAAUCAUGGAUUUAGAUACA